GACGAACGCUGGCGGCGUGCUUAACACAUGCAAGUCGAACGGAAAGGCCCUGCUUGCAGGGUACUCGAGUGGCGAACGGGUGAGUAACACGUGGGUGAUCUGCCCUGCACUUCGGGAUAAGCCUGGGAAACUGGGUCUAAUACCGGCUAGGAGCCAUUUUUAGUGUGAUGGUUGGACAGUUUUUUCGGUGUAGGAUGAGCUCGCGGCCUAUCAGCUUGUUGGUGGGGUAAUGGCCUACCGAGGCGGCGACGGGUAGCCGGCCUGAGAGGGUGGACGGCCACAUUGGGACGGAGAGACGGCCCAGACACCGACGGGAGGCAGCAGGGGGGAAGAUUGCAGAAGGGGCGCAAGCCGGAUGCAGCGAGGCCGCGGGGGGUAUGACGGCCUUCGGGUUGAAAACCCCGUUCGCUAGGGACGAAGCUUUUUGUGACGGUACCUAGACAAGAAGCAACGGCUAACUACGUG
rnacentral:rRNA from 1 species